rnacentral:snRNA from 1 species
GAAUUUGAGGGUGAUUUGGCUACAACAUCCACCACCCUAUUGAUCACAGUCAUUGAUUAGGCUUCUCUGGCUGGCUAGGCAGGUGACCCCUUACUCCUUCACGAUUUUAUAUGUGUCCCUCUUUCAUGGAUGGUCUCAGACCAAAUGCAGGCAAAGCAAUCUUUAGUCCAGGACACACAAGCAGUCGUGCUCAUCUCUUGAACCCCUAAACGAACUCUCAAGAAAGCCCAGCCUGUAGCAUCUCAGAUGCCACGGGACUUUGGACUUUUAAAAACACUGAGAAAAGCUUCAAGGCUAGAGAGAUCAGUUGAGUGUUUGACUUGAA